rnacentral:rRNA from 1 species
GACGAACCGUGCGAACGUUGUUCGGAAUCACUGGGCUUAAAGGGCGCGUAGGCGGACUGCCGCGUCUGGGGUGAAAUCCUCCGGCUCAACCGGAGAAGUGCCUCGGGUACGGGCGGUCUCGAGGGGGGUAGGGGCGUGCGGAACUGUGGGUGGAGCGGUGAAAUGCGUUGAUAUCCACAGGAACUCCGGUGGCGAAGGCGGCACGCUGGACCCCUUCUGACGCUGUGGCGCGAAAGCCAGGGGAGCGAACGGG